GGCAUCGAUGAAGAACGCAGCGAAAUGCGAUAAGUAAUGUGAAUUGCAGAAUUCAGUGAAUCAUCGAAUCUUUGAACGCACAUUGCGCCCGCCAGUAUUCUGGCGGGCAUGCCUGUUCGAGCGUCAUUACAACCCUCAGGCCCCCGGGCCUGGCGUUGGGGAUCGGCGGAAGCCCCCUGCGGGCACAACGCCGUCCCCCAAAUACAGUGGCGGUCCCGCCGCAGCUUCCAUUGCGUAGUAGCUAACACCUCGCAACUGGAGAGCGGCGCGGCCACGCCGUAAAACACCCAACUUCUGAAUGUUGACCUCGAAUCAGGUAGGAAUACCCGCUGAACUUAAGCAUAUCAAUAAGCGGAGGAA
rnacentral:rRNA from 1 species